CAGAGUGCACAUUUGAAGGGAAAUUAUAUCACAAUGCCACGUGAAGGCUGUCCCAAUUCAAAGGCUCUUCCAUAUGCUGCCCACUAAUGCUGCCUGCUUUUCCCUCUUUCUGGAGGACGCACCGGCACCAUCCUUCAUGGCUAUAAAUUGCCCAAGAUUCAUAGCGCUCCUGAAGAGAAGAAAUAAAUAAAUGAAUAAUAGUGACCUCAAGUGGCACAGAUCUCGCAUUUAAAUGGAACAAACAGAACGACCAUUUGUUCACAGGGGUGAAACAUUCCACCGCGGCUGGAUGGAAAACAGUUCUGGAAUCAAUGGGCCUGCAGAAGAAGGUGAAGCCCCAGCAGGCCAGAAACAAGUGGGACCAUUUAAAGAACAAGUACAAAGUAGCAGCAGGAUUGUUAAUAUCCAGGGACAGGAGAGGGUCUCCAUCCCUGAGGACACACCAGGGCCAAGUGACCAAGAGGAGGA